CUAGCUUGCUAAGCUUGUUUUUAGUGGCGCACGGGUGAGUAACACGUGAGUUACCUGCCCCCAAGAGUGGGAUAGCCCCGGGAAACUGGGAUUAAUACCGCAUAAUAUCGCAAGAUUAAAGGUGCAAACCGCUUGGGGAUGGGCUCGCGGCCUAUUAGUUAGUUGGUGAGGUAACGGCUCACCAAGGCGAUGACGGGUAGCCGGUCUGAGAGGAUGUCCGGCCACACUGGAACUGAGACACGGUCCAGACACCUACGGGUGGCAGCAGUCGAGAAUCAUUCACAAUGGGGGAAACCCUGAUGGUGCGACGCCGCGUGGGGGAGCGAAGGUCUUCGGAUUGUAAACCCCUGUCAAGUGGGAGCAAAUUAAAAAGAUAGUACCACUAGAGGAAGAGACGGCUAACUCUGUGCCAGCAGCCGCGGUAAUACAGAGGUCUCAAGCGUUGUUCGGAAUCACUGGGCGUAAAGCGUACGUAGGCGGCUUGGUAAGUCGUGUGUGAAAGGCAGGGGCUCAACCUCUGGACUGCACAUGAUACUGCCAGGCUAGAGUAAUGGAGGGGAAACCGGAA
rnacentral:rRNA from 1 species